UAUAACUCGGGGUAGCAAUUCCCACACGCUCCUGCAAAAUGGGAUUUGCAUACAGCAAGAUAGGCCACUGUCCCAGUCUGGUUACUGUUUAAGGCAUGUGCCAGCUUGUUCAUCUGUGUGUGUCAUUGUUGUCUGCUUUUGUCCACUAACUUCUUUCCUUAUCCAAAAGGAGAUGGGGCAAACAAUAUCAACUCUUAAGCUCCUUAGUAUCCAGUUGAACAACUUCAAGGACUUCUGGACCCAAGCUGGCCACUUAGGGUUUGUGGUCUGGAAGAGCACAAAUUCUCCAUUUUGUGCAGGAAUGAGCGGCUCACACUCAAUGUGGGAUGGCCGGAGGAGGGGACUUUCGGUCUCCCAACCAUCUAUUGAGCCAAGAACAUAGUAUAUGGAUCAGUAGGGCUCCCUGAUCAGGGUCCCUACAUUACCACCUGGCAGUUCCUUAUAGAGAAGCCCCCUAAAGUAUUGAAACCCUUUCUUCAUCCUCCAAAGAUGGUUAUGGCAGUAGCUGCCGAGAAGAGGGAAGGCGGAAGGGAAGGGGCAAGCCUUCUGCCACACUGUACCCUGUUCUCCUUUCUCCAAGUGAUCUGAAGGAGGAAUUUUACUUGGCCCCAGCUCCCUACCCCCAAGCAGCUGGUCCAUUGGCCUUUUGCUACUAGCGACCCACGUUAUUGAAAGAUGCAGAACCCUAAAUUUUCUGAGAAGCCGGCAAGACUCGUUGACUUGUUAGAUUCUGUGCUUUUACUCACCAGUCGACAUAAAUGACUAUAACCAGUUAUUACUUCAGGUCCUCUUUAGUACUGAGAAGAAGGAACAGAUUCUGGUAAAGACCCAUAAAUUGGUUCUGGACCCAGAGGGAAGACCAGCUGUCAGUGCUGACCUCAUAAAUCCUGGUUUUCCCCUGACGUGACCCAGCUAGGACUUCAACAUGGCGGAAGGUAGGGAGAGAUUAAAAGUCUACUGCCAGGCUCUAAUGGGAGGUUCUCAGGCUGCUGUGAGGCAACCCACAAAUUUGUCUGAAGUAAAUCGGGUGUGCCAGGGACCCGAGGAAGUGCCAGGAGCCUUUCUGGAGAAGUUGAUAGAGGCCUAUAAGACCCGUAUGCCCUUGGAUCCAGGAACACCAGAGAUCUGCACUGAGCCCGACUUUUCUCAACCAGCUCUGGACAUCUGCUAUAAGUUACAAGAACUAGAAGGUUUUGAAGAAUCCCUUCAUAAGGACUUGGGUGAUGCCUACAGACAUACCCUAACAUCAGCCUGCUACAGUAUGUGGACAAUCUCCUAAUAGCAAUUGAAAAGACCUGCAAAACUGCCAAUGAGCUGCUGCCCAAACAUCUGGAGACCUGGAAUAUUGUGUGUCAACUCUGCCGGACUGAGGCUUGCUCUCAGGUGCAAAGACAACUCUGUCCCCAGCUUUGUGCAGUCAAUGAGAAGGAACCACCUCCUGUGUCUCACAGAUUCUGGCCAGUGAACCUAGUGAUUGACAAACAAUAUUGGAAAGAGACCUUAGAGCGUGGCUGGAAGGGAUCCCACACUGUCAUCCUGCCUACACCCACAGCUGUUAGGGUGGUUGGGAGCCCCACCCACAACCACCACCCCCACGUGAAGCCUGUGGACCUGUUGUGUUGACCUUGAGGAUUGUGCUUCAGAAGAAGCCACCCUGGACUUUGGAAGGCCAUUGCCCACCCACAGGACUUUCUCACAUUGAGAAUUCAGAAUGUCACUGACCCAGCUAUGUAGGCUAAACAAUGACUAUGUCUGUCCUCCUCCCUAGCCUGUACUUGCUAAGAGUAUCCCCUAUUAACAGCUGGGUAGAAUAGUUACAUUUCCCUAUUGGUCCUACAACCUCACUUGGGUUAUUAUUAAUUCAGAAGCUGGGGAUCUGACCCCCAUGAGGACCUGGCUUUGACCUAUUCACUCUGAAACCCCAUUAUUUUUCAAGGUAUAACCCAUGUGCUUUACAAGGGUAAUAUUUCUAUAUCUGCCCCAGUCAUAACAGAAACAAGUAAUUGGAAAGGAAAUGUGGAGGGGGGAGAUAAAUACUAUUGUCCCUCUUGGGAUCAUGUUUCCACAGGCCACAUCUGGCUACACCCAGCUUGUGAAUGGGGUUACUCUUGGAGCAUCAGUUCAAUACUAAUUUGAUUCACCAAGUAAGGCAGGAAAGUAUGGGCAUCAGGUAAAACCUGGGUAUUGAUAUUUAAGCAAUGGGAAUAUGGUGAUCCAGGGAAGCUGGUUUCUAUGUAGCUUCAUGCUCAGACUCUGCUAUCACCAUACCUUUGGGGCCCAGUAAAGUAUUGACUGUUCCAGCUAAGCCAGAAGGCACAAGAACCCCAAUAUCUACUACUGAAGCAUCACAUUUGGGCAUGCCUUUUGGCCUGGGGUCCCUGGGGCUCUUAAUCAGCCACCCUCUCAUUUCUGAACACUUCAGAGCCCAGUCUCACUGAAAAUUGCUGGUUGUGCCUCGAUACAAAGGCCUCUUGCUGUGAAAGCAGAGCAGUCAAGGGAAAUUAUACUACAUCCCAUAGCUCACAAGCUCACAGAUGGCAGCAACCAAUUAAGGGGAGGCACACCUUGCUGCUGGUGACAGGAAGUGGUCUCUGUCUAGGUAAACACGGCUAGUCUAUCUCUGCAAUCUCACUCAGUACCUAUGGGAGCUGACUUCCUGAUCCAGCUGGAUGACUCUGGGUGGGCCUGUGCUUCUGGCCUAAGACCCUGUGUCAGACCAAAGAUUUCUCUGUUCUGGCCCAGAUAGUCCCAAGAAUUGUCUACUACCCUGAUGAUAAAGACUUUUACCAAUUAGAAAUGUCACCAAGAUGGGGAAAAUGAGAAGCGGUCACAGCUGUCUUAGUAUCCAUGCUCCUAGGAGUCAGUGUAGCUGGGGCCAUAGGUACUGGAAUUUCAGCGUUGAUACUACAAGGCCUUGAGAGUGACAAUAGAUGCAGAUAUAGCCGCCCUAGAGAAACCCAUCGCCCACCUAGAGGAGUCUCUCUCUUCCCUUCCUGAGGUAGUUCUCCAAAACAGGAGAGGGCUUGAUCUGUUAUUCCGGCAACAAGGGGGACUAUGCAUGGCAUUAGGAAAAUAAUGCUGCUCCUGUGCCAGCUAUUCUGGAGUUAUCAGGGACACAAUGGCCCUGGAAAAACAAUAAAAUGAUAGGUGGUAUGAAUCUUUAUUUAAUUGCAAUCCUAGUUAACCACCAUCAUAUCAACCCUAGCUAGUGUAAUGGAUUAAGUAAAAUGCUACAGGUUCCCAAGUGGCUGCAAGCGGGCAGUGGGCCAUGAGAC